GUCCUCCUGGAGGGCCACCUCCAAAGCCAGGCGUUGUCUCCGGAACAAAUCCAACUUUCACUUCGUAGCCUGUUAGAGAGUUUUUCCCCAUGAAUGCCUCUGAACCCUCCUUGAACCCCAUAAUGUUUCAGCUAGCAAUGUCACUUGAAGUUUACAAGUUCCAUAUGUUUGCCCCCACCACAGUGAAAGUUGUUUUUCCUUUUAUUUGUUCUCCAAUUGUCUCCUGUCCCUUUGCCCCAUCCGUAGUUCAUUUGGUUGCCAUCAAAUUUGCUCUCCUCGUCUCAUUAGGUCAUUAAAUGAAUUCCAGCACCUGAAAAGAGCAGUUUUUAAGAUUCAAGUUUUGCUGAAGAAUUGAGGUAAAAUAUUUUGUGGGCAACUGAAGAUAUGGGUACAGCAAUAAGUGCAUUAGCCUCACGUGCAUCCGCCUUCUAACCUGUUAAGCGGAAACAAAAGUUCCACGGGAUGUGUGAGAAGAAAACAAAACAUGUUUCAAUCUCAUUUUCAAAGCACUAAAUUGCUGUAUAAUGAUAAGUGAUAAAAAUGCCUCUAAUUUCCAUCUAUUUUUUUUUUCAAUAACCAGCUGGGCAUUUUUUAGAAACUUAGAAUUCAUCCUAUUAUGAAUUCAAAUUAGUGUGUUCUUAGGAAAGAUACUAGAAUGUGCCUUUGUUCUGUCAAAUGAAUUUAUUUUUUAAUGAUCAGAUCUUGAGAGUUUGCUAGAAAAUGCCACUAAACUUCAAGAUAUAAUUCUUCUCUAAUAUACUUUCUUAUAUGGAUAGAUAAUUCCACAUUUUUGUCUUUUAACCAGUGGUGUAGCUUAAAUAUUAGGCCACCGAAAUUUUUAGAGAGGAUUUCUCUCUGUUUGAUUAUUAUAAAAAAACAGACCAUGGCCUCCCAACAGUUUCUUUUUCUCUUCCCGUUCCCCCCCUUUUUAUAUCUUUCUUCACAUUUUAUGUAUAGGACUCAUGCCAUUUUUUAUAUCUAUACUAUUAGAUCUUAUAAGAAGAUUCUCAUUCUGCAAACUUUUAUUAACUAUCUCCUCUGGCAAUAAAUGUCCAUACUUAUGUUUAUUUAAUUGUAUAUAGAUGUGCAACUGUAAUAAUGUAUCAUGUACAGCAUAAAAUGUACACAAAAAGUUAAAUAAUAGGAAAAAAUGAAAUAACAUUUUAAUUUUAUUUCAUAUUAUUUAUUAAUGAUACAAGCUUUUUUCUUUUUUGUUAGUAAUAAUAUUUUAGUGAGAUCAAUAUUUGAACCUACUUCAUUAUUUAAUAUUUGGGAUAAAAACAUUCAAAGGUCUGAUUCUUAGUUCAGUUAAUUUUAUUACUUGGUUUCAGAGGCUGCUUUAGCUGAAAAAAAAAUCUUAUAUGGAUAUAUAGAACCAUACAGCAGAAACACAUAAUCAUAUUGUUAUAUCCUGCAUCAAAGGGUAUAAUGCAAAGAUUUAUAUUAAACAUUUUGCAAAGAUUUACAUUAAAAUUUGGCAGUAGUUUCUCCAUUUUCCUUGAUGCCUUUGAGUUGUUCUUGCAAGCUAAUCAGAAUAUGUUGCAUUUUUGUAUUUCUUUUUCUUUUCUUUUCUUUUCUUUUUUUUUUGAGAUGGAGUCUCACUCUAUCACCCAGGCUGGAGUGCAAUGGUGCAAUCUGGGUUCACUGCAGCCUCCACCUCCCAGGUUGCAGCAAUUCUCCUGCCUUAGCCUACCAGGUAGCUGGGAUUACAGGCACACGCAACCAUGCCCAGCUACUUUUUUUCAGUAGAGACGGGGUUUCACCAUGUUGGCCAGGCUGGUCUCAAAUUCCAGACCUCAGAUGAUCUCCCUGCCUUGGCCUCCCAAAGUGCUAGGAUUACAGGUGUGAGCCACUGCACCCGGCUGCAUUUUUGUAUUUCUAAAAAAUGGCUUGAAAGCCCAUGGAGACUCUUGAUUUGUAAGAUUACUUAACCGGGUUUAAAAAUUCUAAAUUUUCUGUAUAUGUGAUAGGACUAUUUUUAUGGAUGACACAUAAUAUUUUCAUUAAUAAGAUAAUAUGCCUGUCCAAAUAUCUUUGUUCAAAAUGGUCUCUCCAUAGAACUCAUUUCAUUUGAAAAGCAAUUAAAGGCAAUUGCUUUCUCAUGAGUUCACAGAUUAUUUCUCAUAAAAUCACAGAUUAACAGUGCUUAUUUUUAUUUUAUUUAUUUAUUUAUUUUUUUGGAGACAGAGUCUCACUCUGUUGCCCAGGCUGAAGUGCAAUGGCACGAUCUCAGCUCACUGCAAUCUCUGCCUCCGGGGUUCAAGCGAUUCUCCUGCCUCCACCUCCUAAGUAGCUGAGAUUACAGGCGCCCUGCACCACACCUGGCUAAUUUUUUAUGUUUAGUAGGGAUGGGGUUUCACCAUGUUGGCCAGGCUGGUCUCAAACUCUUGACCUCAGGUGAUCCACCUGCCUCGUCCUCCCAAUGUGCUGGGAUUACAGGCGUGAGCCACUGUGCCCAGCCUUAUUUUGUUUUUAAAUUCUUGUUACAUGGCAAACUUUUGUAUUUUUGGCUCCACUGUUUUCACUGCAAUGGCUAUUUUAUGGUAUCUUUGCAGGAAUCUUUUAAAAUGACUAGUUGUUUUUUAUGGGGUUAGUUCGGAAGAAACAAAUAAUGCAAUGUAAACAUCUACUUAAAUGGGCAUUUAUAAUCUACCAACUAUCAUAUCUCAAAUGAAGAGUGAUGGUGGCACUGCCCACCCCUCUUCAUUGAUGAGGAUCCUUUAUCCUCGGGAGCACCUGAUGACCUGCGUGGUCAUCAGACCACAGAAGGAUGCUCUGAUGAAUAUGUGAUUCCAUCUAAAUCCAUAGUAAACUCCAUGAUACAAUACAAUACGAUACAAAUUAGGCCUUACAUAUUAAAUAUGAGGUUUAAUUUUUCUUAAUCCUGAGAUUAAAAACAUUUUAGAAAAUUAAAUAAUAUUUUCUUUUUUGGAUCUUUUUGGAGGCUUCUGAUCCACAGGGGAAGAGAGAGAGAGACAUAUAAACCAAUAACUGUAUUCAACAUGUAAAAUGCUAUGUACAUGAAAAAAAGAAUGCUAUGGGAACUUGUGGGGGAGGAAGGGAGACAGAGGGCAAAUUCCAGAAAGUCAAAGAGAGGAGAUACUUUUGAGACGAAGUUGAAGAAUAAAUGGGAGUAUGCUGAACCAACAAGUGGGCCAAGGACAUUCAAGAAGACACAAGAAAAGAGAGUGUGCUCAGGAAACACUGAGGAGCUGGUUGAGGUCAGGAUAUAAGAUGCCUGGGGGAGGGGCAGCCAUGAACCUGGAGAGCUGGGUGUGAUGCGGCUGUGAGGGGCUUUGUUCUGUUGGCAGUAGGGAGCCACUGAAGAUUUUAAGGGGAAAAAUGACCUUAGUGAAGGAUAUAUUUCAUUUACAAAUCAUGAACCAUAUACACAUUUUAUACAUAAUUACAUUUUUGGCAGAUGUGGAUAAAAUUCUGUUCGAUCUGAUUUAACAAAUAAUUAUUGGCCAUUAUGGCAAGCGGUAUCCCCAGAUUUGGUGGAACAAUUAAGCUGAAUAUUUACAGUGAAAUACACAGAUGUAUGCAUUUGUCCUUUAAAAUUGUAAUUUUCUGGAAAUCUUUGACAUCUGGAACAAAUUCACACUAAUAUUUAGUCCUUAACAAUAUAUAUGUUUGGGGUUUAUGUUGUAGCACUAUGUUAUGAAUAAGGCAGUGUUAUGACAUUCUUCGGAGAUCAAUGACAUCUAAGUUCAAGGCUGACCUAUAGAUAUGGUAUUCUAUGCUAUCAUGAAGGUGACCAUAUUUCCAGAACCCCCAUACACUUUUCUUCCUAACUGAGAAUUUAUAUGUAUGAAAUGAUUAAAUCAUACUUACAUCCUGAAAGAAACAAAACAAAACCAAUAUGUAUGUAGGCCAGACAUCCAAGCUAAUGAACUCUGAGUGUGACUUCCUUCUGCUGACGGAAUAUAAGCAUCCUAAACCUAUAUAUGCCAUGUAGAGAGAGUGGCCUGUGUAUGAUGUGGCCUUGAGAGGCUAGCUUCUAUUAUUUGUGUCAUUGUUUGGAAAAAGGUGCCAGGAUGCCUUCUUGGUUUGUCAGUGAGAACAUGACAAAUAUUUGAAAAGGCCCUUCUGUCAUAAGAAAUAAAGAUUAUUUUUAUUUCUGAUUAGAAAAGUAAAAUAUGCUUUGAAGAACAGCUAGAGAAAACAAAAAAGUAUGAAAAAGAAAAUGCAAAACCACCCCAAAUCAGAAUUUUUAGAGGUAACAAUCAUUAACACUUUAUAUAAUCUUCUUCCAAAUAUUUUUCUAUGCUAUAUAACAUACACACUUAUUCAAAACUAAAUAUAUACUAAAUAUACAUUUUGCAUCCUACUUUUACAAUUUAACAUAAUUGCCAUUCCUUAUGUCAUUAAACAUUCUUUGAAAACUUGUUUUUAGAUGGCUAUACAGUAUUGAGUUUUAUAGAUACACCAUAAUUAAUUUAAACAAUUUCUAGUUUGGGGCAUUAAGUCGAUUUCAAUUUUUUUUUUGGUAUUUUUUUCCCCUGUAGUUACAGAUAAAUACAUCUGGUGAUUUAUUUUCUUAGGAUCAUUUUCUAAAAGUGAUUAAAGGAUCUGAAUUCUUUCAGAUAGAACUGUUGAAUAUUUAAACAGAGUGAUUGAAAUUGUUCUCUGCUUUUGGCGGGAGCAUAGCGAGGGUAUCUGGAUGAUGAGGGAAAACUUAACUCCUUUUUUUUUUUUUUUGAGACACAGUUUCGCUCUUGUUACCCCAGGCUGGAGUGCAAUGGCGCUAUCCCAGCUGACUGCAAUCUCCGCCUCCCUGGUUCAAGCGAUUCUGCUGGCUCAAGCGAUUCUCCUGGCUCGGCCUCCUGAGUAGCUGGGAUUAUAGGCGUCCACCACCACGCCUGGCUAGUUUUCGUAUUUUUAGUAGAGACGAGGUUUCACUACGUUGGCCAGGCUAGUCUCGAAGUCACUCAAGUUAUCUGCCCUCCUCGGCCUCCCAAAGUGCUGGGAUUACAGGUGUGAGCCACUGCACCCGGCCGGAAAACUUAACUUGGGGAGUUAACUGUGAAGGCACUUAACAAUCUCCUUAUUGAGGAACGCGGGACUUUGUUUCCAAUGGAGGAAUUUCUGGCAUCAGAGAGCAGAUAGGGCAGAGGUGCUUUCUUCUGCUGCUCCUCAAGGCUCACAGCUUGCUAUGGAAGCAUCCUUGGAGGACAUCUCCUUCCCUGCCCUUUCCAUCAACGUUGGUUAAUCCAAUCUCCACCUUCUCUUACAAGAUUGACAUGACGAGUGAGGAAGCCAAGGACAUUGCAUCCGCAUCUUAAACUUAAUCUCAGUACAUGAAAGGGGCUGCUUUGGAAAUAGAGCUUCAUGAAACAGGGAAAUCCCGUGGCCAGGAAACCCCUCGCUCCUCCCCACCCCACCCUGUGAGGAGUGUCUCCACUAGGAAGGAAAUUAAAUCAGUCUUCCAGCCACCAGAAUUGAAUUGGGAUGGACUAUUUCCUCUUUGGAUUAUGUUCCAAAUUGCAUUCCUGUUGCUCUGUUUGAAGUUAGAGUCAGAAAUCAUUCGUAUUUCCCCUCUCUGAAGGAAAGCCUGCUGCAAUGCUUAUCUCAUCGAGUUAAUUGACCUACAAAGGGCUCAUUCCUUCCUAAAAACACUCUGCAUGGCUCUGAUGGUGAGAAAAGCUAGAAUGUGGAGUCCUGUCAUCAGAUGAUGUGACUACAUGGAAUGAGGACUAUAGCUGCUCUCUUAAAAACCUGCAGCCCCCUCUCUCAGCCCAGACAGUUGAGGUAUUUAUGCACCAUCAUAACAUUAACAGCAUCUUUGCUUUGGAAAGUGGGGGUUUAUGAUUUCCAGGGUAAAUCCUCGCCUUUGGGAGUGUGAAUGAGACAAGUGUAUCAGCAACUGCCAAGACCAAUCAAUCAAUAGAUGUGCAUGGAACAUUCUCUUCAUCCCCAAAUCAGAAUGAACACAGUCCUUUAAAGUCUGCACUGCAGGUGAAAUUCACAUGACUCACAAUUCCCUUUAGCCAAUGUUACUGAUGUCAGUGUCAAGAAAACUUAACAGAAAAAAAAAAAAAAAAGCACAGAGUGAGUUCCUACCAUAAAAAUCCAGGCUGCCCCUGUUUCCUAGCUCUAAUAUAAGCCAUUUUCUUUCCUUAUGUGUACCAACAUGUACUAAAUGUCCCAAAGAGUAAGAAAUUAGAACUACCUGUUGUCCGAAGACCUUAAGCCCAAAGCUAUCUGUGAAAGUCCUAUAGGGAUUUUGUAAUUCUGUGUGUGCAGAACACAGUUAAAUUAUUAUUAUUAUUAUUUUUGAGACGGAGUUUUGCUCUUAUUGCCCAGGCUGGAGUGCAAUGGUGUGAUCUUGACUCACCGCAACCUCUGCCUCCCGGGUUCAAGCGAUUCUCCUGCCUCAGCCUCCCUAAUAGCUGGGAUUACAGGCAUGCAACACCACACCUGGCUAAUUUUGUAUUUUUAGUAGAGAUGGGGUUUCUCCAUGUUGGUCAGGCUGGUCUUGAACUCCUGGCCUCAGGUGAUCCACCCGCCUCGGCCUCCCAAAGUGCUGGGAUUACAGGCAUGAGCCACUGCGCCCGGCCCAGUUUAAUGAUUUUGUACACUGUUUUAGUUGAUACUGCAGAACACAUAUUCACCUUUGAUGGGCUACAAAACUUCCACUCACCCCUUGUGGGUUCUAAGUCCUAAAAAAAAGAACACUCUAUUUUCUUAGAGAAGUAAUUUUGGCAAAAGGCGACUGCCUAGGUAUUUCAGAAUGAUUUCAGAAUGAUGCCUGCAUUACUCAAGCAGGGCAAGAAGAGGAAAGCAUUUUAAAAAGAAAGUUGCUCUUAAGGAGAAAAAAAAAUUAAAACAGCCUUUCUUCUAAAAGUCUUAGAGAAAAUAAAAGUAGGACAUAGGACCAACCAUUAUGUACAUGAAAGGGGCUUUUUGCUACCCAUCCCCAUUCCCAGUGAGAAAUACUAAAUAAACUCCUUGGUGAAACUUCAGCUUUCUGGUUCCUGCGUGUGGUGGGGCCUGCGGUUUGGGAUGCUGUUUCUGCACUUGCUCACUGUUUAAUUUCAAAUACUCUUUCGUGGCCAGGCCACCACUGGUUACCUGCUGGUGCCUCUCUCUCUUAGGCUCUCCAGAGGUCUUUGCAGACACGUGGGUCCUCAGUUUCAGGGGGCUACACAGGUACAGGGGAAGCAGAGGCUCCAUGAAAACUUUGGAUAGAAACAUCUUCCUUGACACGUCUUGUUCCAAACAGCAUGAAAAUGGAGCGCUGGCACACAGCCCUCGUGGCGACUUCUGGAUGUGUUUCCUUUGCUCUCCUCUCUUUCCCUCCAUAGGAAGUUAGGGACACCUCUGUACUGCUCACUGACCUGAGGUUUAUACUCCAGUAGUGGACCCCUACCCGCUGCGUAGACUCCGUAAGCAGACCCCCGCUCUGGCUUCAGACACAUUUCCUGAGUUUUGACUUUUCCACACAAUAAGACAUUCAAAUCUGAGAUUCAUAAUUAGGUAAACCUGUGUUUGGCCCUCCGCGGACUUUCCUCUGACAUCUUGGGCCCCUGGUAAAACCUAGUGCGAAAGGGGAUGGCAAUUUUCUCCAGUCUUCUAUGUGGAUUUUCAACCUGAUGUAGCUUCUGUUUAUGUUGCAGAUAAGAGGUGGUUUCUUGUAAGGUAGACUUCCAACAAAUGUUGGAUGUCUAACAAAUGUUGGAUUUGUCUUCCAAUAAAAGAAAGGAUGUCAGGUUUACCAACCCUUUUCAGCAGAAUAGAGGAGAGAGAUUUCUUUGAAGGAGUUUGUGUUUUGUUUUCCAAUAAUUACUAGAUUUAUAUUCUGGCUGACCUAUAGAUUCUGAAGAAGGAUGGAUUGUUAAAUUCAACAACUCCCUUCUGCCCGCCAUUUAUUUAAACAGAUUUAUCAUGACCAUUAUGUAGGCAUUUGAUUAGCUACUAGUUUGUUACUAAGAAGUAGAACUGGCACACGCCUGUAAUCCCAGCUGCUUGGGAGGCUGAGGCAGGAGAAUAGCUUGAACCCGGGAGGUGAAGGUUGCAGUGAGCCAAGAUCAUGCCACUGCACUUCAGCCUGGGUGACAGAGUGAGACUCUGUCUAAAAAAAAAAGUAGCACUCAAGCUCAGUAAAACCUGGAGCUGAGAUUUUACUGUUUAGAUUAGAUAGAUAUAAAAAGUUGUUAGGUUUAGUUGUUGAAACCUAUUGUUGAAAACUUUAAAGUGGCUGUUAAAUUGUGUUGCUUGUCCACGUAUUAAAUGGCUGUAUUUUCUUAGGUUAAUGAUGAACGCAGACACAGGACUCAAAGUACAGCUAUUUUUCUCUUUGAUUUGUUAAAUCAACUUGGAGUGUAUAUGUGGCUUGUUAGUUCCUUGCAUAGGCAAGGAAGCCACCGUCUCAGCUUUCUUAAAGUUCAGCCUUCCUGGAUUUACACUUUCGUCAGUUCCCCAAUUAUUUCCCACUCUCUCACCCGAGGAAAGCCAGUCAGCUCAGUGUGACAUUCAAGUCUCUCUGUGAGUGAUCCCUCACCUGCCUUCCUAGCAUUAUUUCUUAUUGUUGCAUGUAUAAGUCAUGCAUAAAUCAUGUGCUCCAGGCAAACUAGCUCCUUGCUUUCUUUUAAUGGAGGCACAGCACAAAUUCUUAGCCAGAGGACCACAAACUAGUAGACCUUAUUCAUGCCGAUCCUUUGCUUGGCAUGCCUUUCUCUCAUUUCUACUUGAUAAAAUUCUACCCACUUCACAAGUUCCAACACAAGUGUGACAUUCUUUAUGACCUUUCCAGAGGAAGAAGGCCUUCUUCAUAUUUGAACCCUUUGAACCCCCACAGCACAUUACAAGUCCCUCAUCUCACCUGACACAUUCACUAUUGUUCUUUAUUUAUAUAUCCCAUUUCCCCUAUUUGAUUUUCCUUUUUAAGAGACAGGGUAUUCUUCUGUUACCCAGGCUGGAGUACAGUGGUGUGAUCAUAGCUCACUGCAGCCUUGAACUCCUGGGCUCAAGUGAUCCUCCUCCCUCAGUCUCUCAACUAUCUGGGAUCAUAGGCACAUGCCACCACACCAAGCUCUAUUUCCUCUAUUUCUUAAGAGCUGGAUUUUUAUCUGACUUACGAUAUCAAUAUCUGCCAUAGUACAUAAUAGGCACUCCACAAAUAAUUGUUGAAUAAAUAUUUCAUUUUCCUCCAAUUCAUUCAUUCUGUCAAUCAUCAGGUAUUUCUUGAAUACACACUAUAUGCCAGGCACAUGUAGCUAGCAAAAUCUAGGUUUGAAGCUUACCUGUGGAUUUUAAUGAUCUAUGCUAUUUCAAACCUCUACCUGCAUGGGGAAAGAUUUGUUCUUGUCAUGCAGAAGUACUUCUUCUUGUCAUUACCACUAAUUCUAUUAUUUUUCAUGGUGUCACUCAUUGGCAAAUUUAGUAAAGCAUGUCAGGGUUCUGCAUUUAUGUACUAAAUAUACGUCUAGUUUUGUCUUAUCCUUUCUGUUUCUAUUUUUAUUUGCCCUGAGUUCCUCACUUAAUUUUUGUUUGUAUUAUAUAUAUUUUAGUAGCUGCCUCAAAUCCUUUUGAAAUGAAGCAGAGUACCAAUAAAUAAGUAGAAUAAAAUCUGAAAAAAAUCAAGUAAUUGGCUCCAAACCACAAAUCCACACAAUGAAAUCUCACUCGGAGAGCUUUUGCUAUUCAGAAUUCAAUAAAAUGUAGGUCUUCCUUGGACUCCCUUCAAGGGGCAAAGUUUCUAAGAUAAUUAUAAGGUGAUCUUACUUUUAAUGUGGUCCCACACAUACAUCGUUUAGAAACCUGUUAAGAAAAUAGUAAUAUUGUCAUUCUAGUGAUUGAUGGUAUUUGGAAACUGCAUUGUAAAAUCUGGGACUGUUCACAGAAGCUGGUAAACCUGAGGACAAACAUGUCUAUGUACCUGAAAAUACUUUUUCUAUCUUAGUGAUUUUUUUUUAAAACUAAGGUUGCUAGGGAGGUGAUUUAUCAACUUUAGAAAAAUAAAGGGAGCUAAGCUUAAAAUAUACUAAUAUACUAUGUGGGAAAAAUGGCUCCUGAAAUGAGAGUGCUUAAUAGAAUCUGCAUGAAAUCAACAGCAAUGGUGUUACAAAGCAUACAUUUUCCAUUCCCAUCCUAUAGAAAUUGCAUUCAUCUGCCACCAGGCUAUUGUUACUUUAAUACUUAAACCUCACUAGUAAAAGGAAGCUCUUUCACCCACGUUAAGAUUUUGCUAUUUUGCACUCCUAUUUCUCUAUUCUAAUGCUUAAUGAAUACAACCCCUCCUCAUCUAUCUAGAUGUGUAUCAAGCUUAACAGAUUCUAUUUAAACCAGGCAGAUUUGUUGAGUCCUAUAGCCAAUUCAAAACUUUGUUUUCAAAAGAUGACUGAUAAUUAGUUUAUAAUUAAUUCCUAAUGCUGUAUUUCACAGAGUAGGCACUGUAUCUUUAUGGUUAACUCUAGGGAAGAGAAAACAUAGCAUUGUCAAGCAUGAUAUUAAAAUCACAAAAUGACCUCAGGAAACCAGAGUUCUAAACAAUGACUACAGAAGAAUAAAAAAUAUCUAGAAAAUUGCAGUUAUUUUAGUUUAAUGGUAUACAUUGGCUAUGAUUACGAUAUGUAAUUUAUUUAAAGCAUAUUUUAAAAAAACUAGUUUCAAUUGAUCUUUAUAUGUAUGUUAAAACCCAGUGCAUCAGCCUGGAGACUUGUCAAGUUUGUUGUUUUAUCUGCAUUUACCAGGCUCCAGUGCUGCUCAUCCAUGGACUGUAGCCCCCAAGGGCAAGUGCCAUGCUUCUAUUCAUUCCUGUCACUUAGCAUUGGGUCUAUUCUCAACCAGUGUUAGUUGAAUGAAAAAAUGGACUUUUACCUCCUUGCCAUAAUCCUAAAGCAUGCCAAGAUGGCAUGAGCCUCAGCCUUUCAGAAAGAACAGACUUGAGUGCUAGCGAAUAUGUUCUGGAAAACGUUUGGCAUACUGAUACAUCCAGGAGAGAAAGGACAAGGAAUUUCUUCUUUUGUCCCUCUUUCAGGAAAUCCUCACAGAGAUUUUAUUAAUAGCUUGAUUAAUUUUAAUAGCUUGGUUAAUUCUAUGAUAGCUUGAUUCAAAUUGUGCCUUCACAUACAUUUGUACGUAUCUCAGUGCAGCCACAGGAAUUCUUGUAACCCAAGAGUAGAAUUUAUAUUAUAGCCCAUGUGUGUUUUUUUCCUUUGUAAAUUCUCUCAUCUAUUCUAUUUCUGAGAAAAUUCUUUUAAUAGCCCCUUUUAUGGCCCAAAUUUACAUCUUACCAUGUAGAUAUUUCGCUGGGCUUCAGUGAAACUACUCUGGGAAAUAACAGGAAAAAAAAAAUACACCUCUGAAAGUGAGCUACCCCCAAGGAAUAAGGUUCAGAAGUGAAAUGUGAUCUCAUGGAAUGCAACUACCUAAGUCGCUAUACUUCAGCCUAUUUUGUUUUCAGAGUAGCACACACCAAUCAAGUGGUUGCCUAUCUCAAAAACUUUAGAAUUUAUAAUUUUAGAAAUAUGAAAGAGAAUUUGCAAUGUGAUCUCAGUGGCUGGCUCACUUCUCCUUGUAAAGAUUUUUAUCUGAUUAAAAAACAAACAACCUACUUUUUCAAGGCAUAUCAGUGCCAUGAAAUCAUGCUCCACCUUUGCCCGCUUUCAUCAUAUCACCAGGAGCUGCAGUCUGAUAUAAGAGAGGCCAUGACAGAGAGUUAAUUUCUGCCAAUGCCCUUCUCGCUUUCACCGCAAGAUAUGGUUAUUUAAUUUUCUUCUGGGCAUUUACAUAGAGCUUUGAUGGUGCUUCUUACCAUAUCACUGGGUCUGCAUGACUGCUUUAUGGUGAAUCUGAAACCAUUGGGAAAAUGGUCCAGAGUCCCUGAACUUUGCUGGAUCCUAAAAUUAUAGUUUGGAAGCUGUGAGAAUGUUGGUGAAUAAAAAGAAGCAUGUGUCUUUUCCAUGAAUUAAUUUUGGGUGAGAUUGCAGGAUAAAAUGAUGCUUGCUCAGGAAGUGCCAAUGCCCAUCUACCCACCCUGACCUCGGGGAGCAGCACUCAGCCUGACAUGCCAAGAACAGAGCUUUGUCCCCAUGUCUCAGGUGACUGAAAUUCUGCCUUCUGCCCAGAGCCCCUGCUUGGGCUUCAACCAGCAAAGCAAAGGCCUAGGAAACAUUUGCUACCAUCAGCUCUGGUGGUUGCACCUAAGAUGGAAUUUCAUAUAGCCUCUUGUUUAUUUAUUUAUUUUAUUUAACAAGGCGACCAGUUAGGGGACCCAGGUUAAGCCCUUCAACAGAACUAUCCUGAAGAGCAAAAGUAGCAAAUGACAGGCUAUGACUAGGGAUUGAAUUUGGGGAAGGCUGGAUUUGUGAAAUGAGAGCCAAAAAAUUUUCACCUUCUAGCCCACAGGUUAAGUUACUGAAAAUCAAUCAUCACCAUUUCUACCCACUUGUGUGUUUCUCCUACUCUGGAGAGUAAUCUAACUCAUCAUUUGCAAUCAGGGCCUCUGAGUUCUGUUUGUGUUUGCUUUUGCUCUUCGCUUUGCUACUUGUCCGGCCGUUUGCCUUCGCAUCUGACAUCUGUUGGUAAUAGAAGCCUUUGUCUUCAGUGGGCCCGCCCCAGUCCUCCUGGCUCUCGCCCUCUGUGGCGUAGGAGAAACCCUCCUCCACUGAGAAGGGGUCAUCCACAUCGUAGCGUUGGUACGUGCUUUGGUGCAGGGCCUCUUCUCGAGCGCUGAUUUCCAGGGUGCUGUUCCAGAUGCCAUAUCCAAAAUAAAUGAGCAGACCUGUGGGGCGAGGGGAAAGAUAAGUGAACUGAGGCCCAAAGAAGUUAAGUAAAUUUCCCAAAGUCACAAGACAAAGGAGGGGCGGAGCUGUGAUUUGAAGUUGGUGCUGUUUGACUCCAAAGGCUGUCAGCUUCUUUGGGCAAAGACUGAGUCAUCUCUGCAUUCUCAGCACCUGGUGCAAUUUAGGCAGAAAUAUCUUGAAGAUUUUUCGUAUCUUCAGGGAGAUUAGGAAUGGGAAUGGAAUGGGAACGCCAAUGCAGGAAGGAUAAGGGGAGCGCAUGAACAGAGUCACCCACUACUACAAACUGUGCAGUUGGGUUUCCCACAUUUGGGGAAAUGGCAGGGGUCAGCACAUCCGGAGUGUAAUGGAUGAGCCGUGCCCUGGAAAAACCACCUUUGUGAUUGUGAUAGCUCCUCUGCCAGUUAAAGGACUGCUAAUGAUCAGCAAAUAGCCAAAGGCAGAGGAGUCAAUCCAAGAUCUCUUCGGUUCUUUCCUAAUCAGGUGUUUUAGAGAUGGGGCUCUGUCACCUAGGCUGGAGCGCAGUGGGGCCAUCAUAGCUCACUGCAGCCUUGAACUCCUGAGCUUAAGCAAUUCUUCUACCUCGGCCUUCCAGAUUUACACAAUGCUGGGCAUGGAUAAUUUAGGGAGACCUGAAACUCACUCAGAGCUCAAAUCUAUCGCCUUCCAGAUGCUGAGAAGAGAAACAUCUGAUGUCAGCUUCCUCUCUGUUCCUAACAAACAUCUUCAGUUCCCCAAACAGACUUUGUUAACAGUUAUCAUACAGCUAUGAUUUUAAUGCCAUGAGAUAUUAUAUUAAAAUGUAAUUUUAUGCUUUAACUUUGCUCUGCCCAGUUUAAGAGUACCAAGUAUGUAUCAGGCACUCUGUACUGUGUUGGAUGUUAGAUGUUUCUCCCAUAAAUUUGGAUAUGACCCCUUCCUUUGAGAUACUUUUAGUUUAGUCUACCAGUAACCCAGUCACAAUGGCAACUUUAUAAGCAGCAAUUAAACCAACUAAUUUCUUUCUGAAAACUCAAGAAUCUUGCUUUGUGGUAAUGUAUCUGUCAAAAACAUUUGAUUGAGUAGAAAUAGACCAUGACUGUGGAAAAAUGCAGUGAAAAACAUAUGUAAAAAUAAAUAUGUUCUCAUGAUUCAUUAAUAUGAUCAUAUAAAUGUAGACCCUAAUCAUAUUAUCUUUGAAACUUUUGUGGUAAAAGGGUUGCUAAGUCAACUUAACAGUAAAAUCAGUUGCAGAGUGAUCAUUGGUAAACUUAAGAAAAACUUCCAAUAAUGGCAUUCCUUUGUGAAGUAACUAUUUUUAUGACAAUUGUUUAUAUCAAAUUGACUAAUAUAGAUUUGGAUCCAUACUGGAAAUACCCUUCAUUUAGAAAAUGUCUAAAAUGAUAAAUGUGUAAUAGCUCUGAAAUAAUCUACAUUUCAAAUUUUUCAUUUUUUAAAAUAAACAAUCUCUUUUAAUUCCCAAAUAGCGAAUUCUUCCACACUGCCCUGUUUUAUUAAACAAUAGUGGUCAAAAAUUAUUAUGCAUAAUUAAAUAAUUCCAAAAAUAUUUGCUCUAAAAAAUGUACUGCUCACCAACUGUAUUACAGAUUUAAGAAUGAUGAGCAUGUUAAGGUUUCUUGCAGUUGCUCUCAUUUUGUGGAAUGGUAAUGUAGUAUUCUUUGUAUUACAAAAAAAUAAAAAAUCUCUUGAGAGGAGGGUAGCUGGUGAUAAAUGCUCUGAGUUUUCUUCCCUGGUGGUUGUGGUGUGGUAGCAGGAUAGAGCUACUUGUUCUAAUGUAGCACUCCUUUGAUUAUUUAGCCAAAACCUUUGUGUUAAGCACCAACUUUGUGAAACUUACUGGACCAGGAUUAGGGAUGGAGGAGAAGCACAAGCCACGGGGCAUACAGUCAAGUUACAACAUAAUCAUGGAGAUGAGACUUAUGCAGAGGGGACAAUAGGGAGCAUGGCAAAACUGUAUGUUGUGUAUGAAAGAGACUAAGUAUUGUUGGAGUUUGGGGAACAAUUAGUGCAGACUGGUAUGGUUGAUGGCAGUGUUAUGAAGGAGCAAGAACUUGACUGGGUGUUGUAGCAGGAAGGCUGGGGAACAGUCAGAGCAGACAUAGGGCUGGGUUGUUUUUCCUGAUGCAUGUGGGUGCAGAGAGGACACUGGCCAAAUCAAGUACCAAAUCUGUAUUAGGAAACACUGGGAGAGUGGAGUGAUCAGAAGAAAAGGGUGAGUUGUAUAACCAUGGCCUUUAAAGCCUAGAGGAGAAUGUGUACCUCCCACGGUACACAUGAACGACUGACCAGGAGAGAGGCAGGCUGACUAGUUAGGAGGCUGCUGCCAAGUCAGAUGAUGAGGCCUGGGCAGUGACGUCCUGUGUAAAAAGGAGCAUGGGCAUUAGCAGAAGCAGCUGGGAUGAGCCUACAUCCUGACUGGGCUCAGAGUCUCAUCCUGUGUGAAGCUAAUUGGAUCCCAUGGGCAUUAAAUCCCUGACCAGGGCCUCAUUAGUACAAGUUCUCCUCACCAGAGCUAACCAGUGUGGGUGCUGAUCUUAAUAGGUUGCUGUUUUUGCUGCUGGAGACUGAAAGAAGUAUUUAGUCUCUAUAUUACCACACAUAGAAAUAGGGAAAACUUUACAAUGCCUUUUCUACCUUUUCUUUUGGUAAAACAUGAGUAGUUUGAGAAAAUGUCAUGCUGUUCACAUUUUUCUCUCCUUCAUUAUGUAUUAAAUGAUCUGGCCUUGGGGCUGUGGGGUCUGAGAUGAAUGCUCUUAAGAGGAUCAAUUUCAGAAGAAUCCCAUGAAAUAAUAGCUAUCCCUUGUUCACAUCUUAACUGAGCCUAUUCAGAUCCGAAUGUGUAAAAACCUGAAAACAUCCAAAUGGAUUUCUUUAAAUGCUAACUUUUAGUUCAGACAUUUGCCAUCCUGCAGAUAAUGCUGCUAGGUCUAUAAAACUCACAGUAAAGUGAAAAUGUGGCAAUUAUUCCAUUCAU